GAUGAACGCUAGCGGCAGGCUUAACACAUGCAAGUCGGAGGGGCAGCGCGUUGUAGCAAUACGAUGGCGGCGACCGGCGCACGGGUGAGUAACGCGUAUCCAACCUUCCGUUAAGUAGGGGAAUAGCCUUGCGAAAGUAAGAUUAAUGCCCUAUGUGGUGUUUUGAGGACAUCUGAAGAGCACCAAAGGUUUACCGCUUAACGAUGGGGAUGCGUCUGAUUAGGUUGUUGGCGGGGGCAACGGCCCACCAAGCCUACGAUCAGUAGGGGUUCUGAGAGGAAGGUCCCCCACAUUGGAACUGAGACACGGUCCAAACUCCUACGGGAGGCAGCAGUGAGGAAUAUUGGUCAAUGGGCGAGAGCCUGAACCAGCCAAGUAGCGUGCAGGACGACGGCCCUAUGGGUUGUAAACUGCUUUUAUAAGGGAAUAAAGUGAGUCUCGUGAGACUUUUUGCAUGUACCUUAUGAAUAAGGACCGGCUAAUUCCGUG
rnacentral:rRNA from 1 species